rfam:Tupaia chinensis contig216487, whole genome shotgun sequence.
GGAAGACUGAAAUGGCAUCUCACUAAGAUAUCGUCAGCUCCAGCUGCUCUGGCUGGCUAGGUGGAUGCUGCCCUCCUUCUUCAUGGCUCCAUGUGUAACGCUCCUAAAGAUGCAUGCUCAGAAGAGGAAGAUGGCUUUCCCUGCUAGAGAGGACCACUAUUUGGUCAGUGGUAUAAAAGUAGCUGUGCUGUCUCCCAAACAAGCUUUCUUAUGGAACAAAGUUUAUGUAGAUAAACCGGGGCUGGCUGGUGGU